rnacentral:RNase_P_RNA from 1 species
UCAGGGGGCCAGGCAGCCGCGUGGAUCAGGUCGUUAGGCCAGAGCCGCGAGGAAAGUCCGGGCUCCACGAAACGAGGGUGGCGGGUAACGCCCGCCGUGGGCGACCACAGGGAAAGUGCCACAGAAAGCAUACCGCCGAUGGACCGGGAAGGUCACAGGCAAGGGUGAAAGGGUGCGGCAAGAGCGCACCGGGGUUCCGGCAACGGCGCCCGCACGGCAAACCCCACCCGGAGCAAGGCCAAAUAGGGGCCUCGCGCCCGUCCUUCGCGGCGGGCAGGGGUGUUUCGCCCCGAGAGGCCCGGGUUGGCUGCUAGAGCCGUCCGGCAACGGGCGGCCCAGAUGAAUGGCUGCCCCCGCGUGGCCGGUGCCGCAAGGCAUACCGCGCGCGGGACAGAACCCGGCUUAUCGGCCCCCUGAUGAU